rnacentral:rRNA from 1 species
CAGUAGCCACGGGAAUACGUAGGGUGCAAGCGUUAAUCGGAAUUACUGGGCGUAAAGCGUGCGCAGGCGGUUUGUUAAGACAGAUGUGAAAUCCCCGGGCUCAACCUGGGAACUGCAUUUGUGACUGGCAAGCUAGAGUCUGGCAGAGGGGGGUGGAAUUCCGCGUGUAGCAGUGAAAUGCGUAGAUAUGCGGAGGAACACCGAUGGCGAAGGCAGCCCCCUGGGCCAACACUGACGCUCAUGCACGAAAGCGUGGGGAGCAAACAGGAUUAGAGACCCCUGUAGUCCCUGUCUCUUAUAA